AGAAUCAACGCUGGCGGCGUGCCUAACACAUGCAAGUCGAACGAGAAAGUGGAGCAAUCCAUGAGUAAAGUGGCGCACGGGUGAGUAACACGUGACUAACCUACCUUUUAGUGGGGGAUAACCUAGGGAAACCUGGGCUAAUACCGCAUAAUACCUACGGGUCAAAGCAGCAAUGCGCUGAAAGAGGGGGUCGCGGUCGAUUAGUUAGUUGGCAGGGUAAUGGCCUACCAAGACUGUGAUCGAUAUCCGGCCUGAGAGGGCGCACGGACACACUGGAACUGAAACACGGUCCAGACUCCUACGGGAGGCAGCAGUGGGGAAUUUGCGCAAUGGGGGAAACCCUGACGCAGCAACGCCGCGUGGAGGAUGAAGUCCCUUGGGACGUAAACUCCUUUCGAUCGGGACGAUAAUGACGGUACCGGAAGAAGAGCCCGGCUAACUUCGCGCCAGCAGCCGC
rnacentral:rRNA from 1 species